CAAGCUGCGAAGAUAACGGGUUGUUCAAGUGCUAUUCGGAUACGAGCAUACGGGUACGGCUUUGUCUGCAUGUGGUAACUCUUAAACUCACUGCCGUCAUGCGCCCAUCAAGUCAUCACUCGCUCAACGAACCGCUCCAACGGAAUCACCAUUGAAAAUGGAGAAGUAAAGGCACAGAAGAUCAAGAGAAAGGGAAACACUACUACAAAGUGAUGUGGGAAACGGCUAUCAUACCGUAGUAAUGACGCCAGCUUGAACGGGAGUGUAAUAACAGCGCCGCAAAGCUCAGCGUUUCAAGUCGCAUUUUGGUAGUCCCUACAAUAACUCUACCAUAAGAUUUGAGAAAAAAAAUGGGUGCUAACUGCUGAUGAUCUAAACAAUGUAUGGCGUCCAUGUAAUUAAAACAAGAUUGACCAGCUAACUGGAAGUUUACGUGAAGCCUAAUUGCAGCUCGAAAUAUACUACAGUUCGACUAAGAACCUAUCUAUUUAGCAACUUCCAUACUGCGCUAAUAAACUAGGUUGCAUUAACCGGCCAGGUUUUUAGCUUUUGUCAGCCAAGGGGCAUCGCUAGCGUGAGGCUGAUAGAACAAUAGACAUUUGUGAUUGAUAUGCGUUCAAACAAUAACGCAGAGACAAAAUGGGUGUUCAGCAUCUAUUAAACGCAUAAGUACACUAUUGACUUGGUAAAAAAAAUUAGCGUAUGGUAUUGAGAAUCCGAAUAUCCUGUUUUCAGUUACACAGAUACAUUUCCGUUAAUAAAAAGGAUUGCUUUUUUCUCCAAAAGGAUAUAGAAGAAUGAGAGCAAAAAACUAUUUCCAUUUUUAUAAUGUGUAUUCCAAGGCAUUUUUUUUUGAUUCAAUGGUGUAUUGACUUAUUUUAAACAGUAAAAGCCAAUUUCAUAGUGUUACUUAUAAACAUCAGACAAGAUGGUGGUUUGUGUGAUCAAGGUGGUUGUUUGAGCUAUUCCGUGAAAAAAGAAU